GUAGUACUCCCUCCGUUUCCGAAUUAUUUGUCUUAGAUUUAUCUAGAUACGGAAAUAUUUAACACUAAAAUAAAUCUAGAUACGUCCGUAUCUAGACAAAUCCAAGACAAACAAUUUGGAACGAAGGGAGAACGUA
rfam:Triticum aestivum genome assembly, contig: Triticum_aestivum_CS42_TGACv1_scaffold_558651_7AL